rnacentral:misc_RNA from 1 species
UCUCCGUUGGUGAACCAGCGGAGGGAUCAUUACAGAGUUUUCACAACUCCCAACCCUUGCGAACCGUACCCAUUCUGUUCUCGUUGCUUCCGGCGGGGGGGACGGGGGGGCCCGAAACGGCCUCCCCGCCCCGCCCGCCGGGGGAGGUGGGCCCUCCGAACCUUACUAUCCCAACCACCAAAAACUGAAUGAGGAAACAAACAAAAUAAUCAAAAAUUUCAAAAACGGAUCACUUGGAUCUGGCAUCGCUGAAGUACGCAGCAGAUCGGAAAAGCACAC